rnacentral:rRNA from 1 species
GACAGAGGAUGCAAACGUUGCUCGGAAUUACUGGGCGUAAAGCGCGCGCAGGCGGUUUCGUAAGUCGGGUGUGAAAGCCCCGGGCUUAACCCGGGAAGUGCAUUCGAUACUGCGGGACUAGAGUACUGGAGAGGAGAGCGGAAUUCCCGGUGUAGAGGUGAAAUUCGUAGAUAUCGGGAGGAACACCAGUGGCGAAGGCGGUCACCUGGCCCAAUACUGACGCUGAGGCGCGAAAGCGUGGGGAGCAAACAGG